UUACAGCCAUAUCACGUUGAAACACCGAUUUCCGUACGAUCACCGAAGUUAAGCAACGUCGAGCCUGGUCUGUACCUAGAUGGGUGACCACAUAGAAAUACCAAGUGCAGU